GAUGAACGCUGGCGGCGUGCCUAAUACAUGCAAGUCGAGCGAACGGACGAGAAGCUUGCUUCUCUGAUGUUAGCGGCGGACGGGUGAGUAACACGUGGAUAACCUACCUAUAAGACUGGGAUAACUUCGGGAAACCGGAGCUAAUACCGGAUAAUAUUUUGAACCGCAUGGUUCAAAAGUUAAAGACGGUCUUGCUGUCACUUAUAGAUGGAUCCGCGCUGCAUUAGCUAGUUGGUAAGGUAACGGCUUACCAAGGCAACGAUGCAUAGCCGACCUGAGAGGGUGAUCGGCCACACUGGAACUGAGACACGGUCCAGACUCCUACGGGAGGCAGCAGUAGGGAAUCUUCCGCAAUGGGCGAAAGCCUGACCGAGCAAUGCCGCGUGGGUGAAGAAGGUCUUCGGAUUGUAAAACUCUGUUAUUAGGGAAGAACAUAUGUGUAAGUAACUGUGCACAUCUUGACGGUACCUAAUCAGAAAGCCACGGCUAACUACGUG
rnacentral:rRNA from 1 species